UCAUAAUGUUCUGAGCUGAGAAAACCAAGAAAAUUCCAUUUCCUGACCUAUGGACUCAUGGGAUGUUCUGAAGAUUAAUGUGUCUCUUUCAGGGCACUAAGGUACAUUUAGAGCACUAAAGAAGUCAUUUACUAAAUGGUGCCCUUGGGACUUGAAAGAGUUAAUGUACCUCUCACAAGUCCUUUCUUAUCUACUUCCUAUUCCAUAAAGUGGAUGUUUCUCUCCAGAAGUCAAGUGAAUAAGGUAUUUUCCCUAAUUACUCCUCAUAACUUAUUUUUAGUAUUUUAUACCAACAGAAAGAAAAAAUAAGUUCAGAAACCUAAUGUGUAAAUGAGUUGACAUACAGUUCUACCUAAAACUCAAUUAAUAUGAAACAGCAACUUUUACCAAGAAAAAUUAUUCUUACUUUUGAAAUUAGAAAUAUAAACCAAGUUAGUAUUGAAUAGUGGUUUAAACUGUAGGUACUGAAGUUUGGGGUGGAAUCAUAUCUGAGCACAUAGUUCUCCAAGAUUUAGUUUUGCAAGUGUUAUAAAACAGAGAUGCAAGUCUGGCAUGUUUUCUAAUUUGGGUAGAGGAAGUUUGGGGGAUUUUUCCUAAGAAUAUUUUAUUCUUAGAGAAUAAAGUGAACAGUAGCCAUACAAUUAGUUUCUAGAAAAACAAAUUUGUACAAAACUAUUGUAUUUCAUAUAUUAAAUAAAAAAGUUAAUAUGAGAAACUUGAUUUAAAAAUUUAGUAAUGAAUUUCUAACUUUACAUACUUGAACUAAUCACUUUCCAACUUCUGAAAUAUGGAGAGCAAGGAAAAAUAAUCAAGUUUGUGUUUUCUAGAUCAACUGCCAUAACAAAUUAUUAUUAUAUUUAGAAACAUAUUUGAUUCUAAACAUAUACAAGAAGAUAAUCUGGAUCAUUUAUGGUAAGAAAAAUAUUUUAAAUGGACUAUCCAGGUAAGUGAAUUAAAUUAUACACUAUGUAUAAAAUGGGCACUAAAUCUGCUCAAACAUCUAUCAACUCCAGAGACAUCCUAAAAAGAAUCACUAGGUUAAGAGUCACCCCACAUGUCUAGCCUAGUCUCUGUUCCUUCUUAGAUCCCUUUCUGCAGUAUCAAAGGUUGACAUCAGUUAUUGAGAGCAAUGUUUUCCUUUUAUCUUAGUGAUACUAUAACCUACUCCACAGACCCUCUACUUUUUUCUCUCUGGGUGAAGUAGAAAUAAGCUUGACCAUCAAAGUUUGCAGACAAGUCUGUUUUUCUCAUGCCAAGAGUAGCCACAGAUGUAUCCUUUUCUAUGGUGAAGCUAGAACAGAAAUCCCUUGGGAAAGGUGCUAGGUUUCAAGAACCUGCUAGAUAUAUUGGUUGUUGGGCCACUGUGAUACAUGUAGCAACAACAAUAUUUAUAUUUCACAUUUUCUUCAUAAAAAUUCCCUUUGUGGAAAAAAAGAGGAACAUCUUAUAAUUUCUAUUUUAAUUCUUUCCAAUAUAUAUUAUUAAUGGAAAUGAAAAUUUUAAUGACUCUCUGAUUUUAUUUAACCUCAUGCAUAUAAGCAUCUUGACAAUUUUCCUCUAUGAAGAAAAUGUAUCCGUCAACAAGUACUAUGCAUGCAUCUUAUUUCUUCACAAUUAAAGUUUAACUAAAAGCAAAAGAUACUAAUGCAUGGCUAAUUUUACAAUGCAAGCAGAUGUUGUUGUUAGAAGAACAUCUUCCAUUGUUAGCCUCUGGCUCCAGUGACUGCCAUCCAAAGAAUGCAGAGGAAGAAACAAUUUGGAGAGCAAGAGAUGCCGUUUGCUAGGGGCACAGAACACGACAGCCAGUUGGAAGUCAUUAAAUUCAGAUGCAGCUGCAUUUCUGACAAGAGUUCUUGGCCACCCCUGCUCUGUCUCCAUCCAGAAUAGUUCUUGCGGGGCACACUGCUCAGAUAUGAUAUAAAGGUAUUGGAAAGAAAACCUCUCUUAUGGAAACAGCAACAAAUUCCAAACUAUCUGGGUAGCACAAGCAAUUUACUCUCCUUCAACUUAAAGAAUUGUUGCUUUAUGGCCAUUUUCCUUGAGUUUAUUGAUUUCAUAUGCAGUUUUUUUUUUACAAUGCCAUAAUGCAUCUGGGCUUCAUGCACAGAGACAGAAAGGAUAACUAACAUUGGUGUCAUCUGUCAACCCAAAGUAAUCAAUGGCACCUGGUCUCUACUUAGAAGUGCAAAGCAUCAAGGAGCAAAGUCUCUUCAAUCAAAGUGCCUCAAGGACAAGAAAGGCAAGGAUGUUGCAGAAGAGAAAACAACAAAAAUAAGAAAAAAAUCCUAAUGUUAAAUGUUUGUUCGAAAGUAUCAUGUUUAAGUUUUACGGCAUCUUUUGUCAAAUGCCACUUUAGUGGCAUUGUAAAUGCUUAGUCAUUUGUGUGUCAAUGUUUGCUCUAUCCACUAAGAAAAGGUGUGGGUUGCUUAAUAAUUUCCAAAGGUUAUUAAUAUGUGUAUUCAAGGAAUAUGGAUCCACUUUAACAGAACAUAAUUAGGAAGGAAAUUUGCUGCCACAUCAAAGUCCUAUAAUACUUUAUUAAUAUACAAAAACUUAAAUAGAAUCUUGUUUCACUUACAUAUAUCUGUGUACCCAUUCAUUACUGUCAGCAAAAAACAAAUAAUGAAAUACUGAGUAGAAAUUUAUAAUACUCAGAGGCAGACCCAAGCAAAAUUCUGGAGUGGAUGAAACCAUUCUUUCUUCUUUCUAACCUUUCAAGGCCUGUGUUUUUAUUCCACAAAUCCAACAACUAUGCCCACUAAUGAGUGGUCUCAUGUAAUUCCAUUGUUGCCCUCUUGUUAUGGACUGAUUAUUUGUGUCAUCCAAAAUUCACUUGCUGAAGUCCUUACCUCCAAUGUGAUGAUAUUAGGGGGUGGGGCCUUUGGAGGUGAUCAGGUCAUGAAGGUGGAGCCCUCAUGAAUGGGAUUAGUACCCUUAUAAAAUAGAACCCACACAACCAUUUAUGAGGAAGCUGGUCCUCACCAAACUCCAAAUCUGCCUGCACCUUGUACCUCCCAGUCUCUAGAGCUUUGAGAAAUACUUAUUGUUUAAGCCACCUGGUCUAUGGUACUUUUAUUAUAGCCGCCCAGACAGACUAAGAUACCCUUCACAAAUUGAACUAGCACAGGAUUUUUUACAGCAUUGUAAACAGCUUGCUCUACCCCAACCUCUUCUCAAAUAACUUGAUUCUCCUUUAGCCACCACGAGUAGGCAGGGAACAUCUUGACCACAUUGCUCCAGCCUUAGACAAUGGGACCACUGAGGAACUUUGCUUUAAUCAGACCUAAUGGACACAGAGUUACUGGUAACUCAUGAUUUAUGUAGCCUUCUUUAUCACAAAGAGCAGGUUCAGUCAGGUCCCUAUCUAAGAAAUUUGAAGCAAUAAUACAGUUACAGUGAAAGGUAUAUGUUUGAGUUAAAGAAAAAAAAAGGAGGGAUAAGGUAGAGUAAGAACUGCAGUGGCAAAUACGAGUCAUUGUGCAUGAGAGGUUAUGAGGGAGAAAAACCUCAGAGGAAAACAGUUAAGAGAGAGAUGAAUGAGAUACACUCAUGGAAAGUGGAGCACUAAGAGAAAUCCUGUGACCCCAGAGAAGUGGGAGAAGAGCUUUAAUCCUUCAUGUUUCCAUUUGUAGUUCCUAUUCACAUGAGGCCUGGCUCUGAUUAUCGCCUUGCCCUUGAGAUCCAUGAACUUGCUGUAUUCAGAAAAUGUCAUUCCAUUUUUCUGAAGCUAGUUUGAUUGAAUCUUUGUUACUUGUUAACCAAUUUAUUCAAUACGUUAUUCACCAAAUUAAUAUGGAAAACAAUAAUUCUUGCACUUGUAAAGCAUUUUCUAAUUCAUCAAGAUUUUCAUAAGCAUUAUCUUUUUUUAUCCUUAUAGCAAGCAUGUGAGGUAAGCAGGACAGGUAUUGAUAUCUUCAAUUAAAAUGAGAAAAUGGAAUUUCUGCAAGCUGUAGUAAUUAUACAGACUCCCAAAACUUAUAGGAGUAAAAAUAGGACUGGAACCUUGAAUUUGCUGUCAGUUUUGUCACUGAAUUAUAUCUGAACACACACACACACACACACACACGCACGCACACACACACACACACACACACCCCAGGAUUUCUAGGUCAUUUCAUCCCUUAUUUUUAAAAUACAAAAUUUGAUCACAAUUAUAAGCAUAAAACAUAAAACUGCUUUCUAGCUCUUCUGUCGUCUUCUCUGAAAAAAAAAAACCCUCAGAUUCCUCUUAAAACCUCUGAUAAUAUCCGCAUACCAUUAUUCUGACCUUUACAUUACUUCUCAGUUUUCUCUCUUCCUAUUCUAACUUGACUUUCAGGCACAUACUGUGGGACACUGCUAAUGAAAGCAGCAACUUCACUGGCAAUGGUUACUAAGAGUGCUGCUGUGAUAUGGAAACCAUAUCAAUAUAGUUGCACCCACAUUGCUGAUGCCCUAUGGAAAUGCCAAUGUCCAUAGUCAUUCUAUAGAUAAUCUCAUGGUAGCUGAAUAUACCAGAGUCCCAAGAAGUAAACAUCUGCCAAGGUCAAAAUGCUGUGAAGAUGCCAAUGCCAGUGACCAAUACAAACACCACUGUCUGUGCCAUUUUUGGUUUCUGUUGAAGACUCUAUCACAGCAAGACUUCUGGUUCUUCUUCAGCAUCUUAAAGAAAGUUUCAGUGAAAUGACCCAUGAGGAGCACAUCCCAGGCUCAAGCAAAGAACACUGUGACACAAGGGAACUCCUUCACCUCUAAAAAAAGCCUUAUAUCAUUCAGGUGCGAUUUGAGCAAAUCAUACGUUACUGUCAUUCACUCAUUCAUUCAUUCAUUCAUUCAUUCAACAAAUACUUAUCAAGCACUUAUAUGUUGCUCUUGAUAUGUAAAGCAACAAACCAGACAGGUCCAUUCCUUGAAUCUGUUGCAUUUAAAUUCUAGAAUAACAAAUUCUGGUAGCUCAUUACUCCUUUUGUUGGAACAGAACUGUUUGUAUCCAACAUCUGGAUGUUCCUGGUAGCAGAAGCACUUUCUCCCUUCCUUUUCAAACACUGGAAAUAAACUAUGUCAUAGAAACUUCUCAUACAAAUCAUAUAAGCCAUAAAUUCAGUGGUACAUCUUUUGGGGUGGAUAAAGGACUUGCAGUUAUCAAGUUCUCUCCGGAGUAGACACAGUUAGGAAGAUGCCUCAUAGUGCAUGAAGAGAGUUAGUGAAUAGUCUGAGUGGAGGUCUUGACUAAGGAGUUUGCUAGAGAAGACGCAAUGUGAACUGAAGCUGUGGGCUGUACAGCAGACAGCCUGGGUCAGACACAUGUGGAGAUCAUAGAUCAAUAUCAGGGGUCCACAGCCCAGGGGGAUCACAGUCCUGGACAUUCCCUACUGACAGAGACUACAAUCAGUCUCUGAGAUAUAUAUCCUGGAUGUUAUACCAACAAACCCUUGCAGAAUGCUGAAGGGCAGCAGUGCCCUUCAUUUGUCACUAGUCUGGUUUUCAGCAUCGACCAAUCACACUUAGGUGGACACCAGUGAGGAACCUGAGAACCUGCCUUGGUUGAAGGACUUCCAGAGACCUACCUGUCACAUAUGGUGCCACAUGUCCUUCACAUCCAGACUACAUCCUAGAAAGAAACAAAAAGAACUUGGAGGUAGGGGGAGAGUGGAGAAUUUGUAAAGUUUUACAGUUUAUCUAAAAGAGAAUGAGUCAACUAAAGAUACCAUUUAAAUUUUUGGAUAAGCAACAUAUAUUAUCCUAAGCUUAGUUUUGUUUUGCUCAUGUGUACUACCAUACUGUGUGUGGGAUCGGGGAGAGGAAAUUCUGAGAAGAUCAGAUAAUUUAAUAGAAAAGAAAUUAUACAUUUUGUACAUAACUUAGUACAGUGAAAACAAAUUUAUAAACCUGUAUAUUAUUUUAACUCACAAGAAUGAAAAUAUACUUGUGAAAUAUGGAUCACCACUUUUUAUCAGGUGUUGACUUUUGCUUCAAGUACAUUUAAAAAUUAUUGGUUCAUUGGGACGCCUGGGUGGCUCAGUCGGUUAAGUGUCCGACUUCAGCUCAGGUCACGAUCUC